GUUCAAUGAAAUGUGCAGGACCUUAAAUCUUGGCUCUGCAGAAGAGAUGCUUCUUGGUGCCUGCUGAGUUUUGGAAAGGAGGAGACACUGCAACUCUCCUAUCUGGGAAACAAUUUUCAAGAGGAGUCAAAGGUUAUGGUUCAGAGGGGAAGGAGUUUGCCGACAGCAGGUUCUCCUCAGGCUGAGAGGAGGCUUCUUCUCUUUAAUAGCAUGUGUGAUGUUGCUGUGGUGCUGUUCUCCAGGCAGUGAUACACAGCAGUGACUUACCGAGAUGAUCUGAGGAGGAGCCACCUCACAAGUGGAAGAGUGUAAGAGCUUCUUCACCCUAUUUUGGCCCAAGUUCCUGAGC